UACAGAGGGUGCAAGCGUUGUUCGGAAUUACUGGGCGUAAAGGAUGCGUAGGCUGCUUGAUCAGUAUGUUGUUAAAUGCUAAAACUCAAUUUUAGUUUGCAAUAUAUACUAUUAAGCUAGAGACCGGGAGAGGUAAAUGGAAUUUCUAAUUUAGAGGUCAAAUUCUCCGAAAUUAGAAGGAACACCAGAAGCGAAGGCGAUUUACUGGAACGGAUCUGACGCUGAGGCAUGAAAGCGUGGGGAGCAAACAGG
rnacentral:rRNA from 1 species